rnacentral:lncRNA from 1 species
AUGAGUAUUGUAUUUAUUCCUCCACAAAUUCAACAGUGCUUGCCAAGGACCUGCUAUGUGCCAGGUGCUGCUGGAGCUGGGAACCUAACGAUCACAGUGUCUGCCUCUGCCAGCCUUUGUGUGUGUGGCAGGGGUGGUUUUGAGUCCCACCAUCUUCCAUCCCUGAUGCUUGGAGAACCUGAGGACACACAAGAUUCGUUUGGUGGCCCAUUGAUCUGAAUUGCAAGAAACAGAAGCCAUAUUCAAAUAGAAUAUUAAAAAU